GCUUGGGUGGCUCAGUCAGUUAAGCAUCUGACUUCAGAUCGGAUCAUGAUCUCAUGGUUCGUGGGUUCGAGCCCCGCGUCGGGCU
rnacentral:tRNA from 1 species